GUGAAUCAUCGAAUCUUUGAACGCACCUUGCGCCCUUUGGUAUUCCGAAGGGCAUGCCUGUUUGAGUGUCAUUAAAUUCUCAACUUCAAAGGGCUUUGUUGCCUCUCUGAAGCUUGGAUUAUGGAGGUCUUAAAUUGCCGGCUUCACAGUCAGCUCCUCUUAAAUGCAUUAGCGGAACUUUUUUGAUGAACCUUUUAAAAGGGGACCAGCUUUGGCUUGAUAAUAUUAUCUAUGCUAUUGUUGUGAGAACCUAUGGUUUGUUAUGUUCAGCUUCUAAUGGUCCUUUGGACUGUCUCUCUU
rnacentral:misc_RNA from 1 species